AGAAGGAGCAGACCCCUGCUUGGCUACUGUAGCCCUCUCUGGUUCUGUGCAGGGUGUUCGGGUACUUUACUGAGCCCCAAAUCUGCCCCACUGGGAACCCCUGAAAAAGAACCAGGGCGGGAGAACGAAAGGGAGGAGCCGUGAAACCCCCAUCCUUUAAAGACAGGCCCAGGCCCUGCAGCCCUCACCAUGGUGGGGGCUCACUUGGGGGUCUCCCAUGGGGGUCCUAAUCCCAUCUCUUCUCUUCCCAGUCCAGGAUGACAGGGUCCCGAAACUGGCGAGCCACGAGGGACAUGUGUAGGUACCGGCACAACUACCCGGAUCUGGUGGAACGAGACUGCAAUGGGGACACGCCAAACCUGAGUUUCUACAGAAAUGAGAUCCGCUUCCUGCCCAACGGCUGUUUCAUUGAGGACAUUCUUCAGAACUGGAGGGACAACUAUGACCUCCUUGAGGACAAUCACUCCUACAUCCAGUGG